rnacentral:rRNA from 1 species
GAUGAACGCUGGCGGCGUGCCUAAUACAUGCAAGUCGAGCGAACAGACGAGGAGCUUGCUCCUCUGACGUUAGCGGCGGACGGGUGAGUAACACGUGGAUAACCUACCUAUAAGACUGGGAUAACUUCGGGAAACCGGAGCUAAUACCGGAUAAUAUAUUGAACCGCAUGGUUCAAUAGUGAAAGACGGUUUUGCUGUCACUUAUAGAUGGAUCCGCGCCGCAUUAGCUAGUUGGUAAGGUAACGGCUUACCAAGGCGACGAUGCGUAGCCGACCUGAGAGGGUGAUCGGCCACACUGGAACUGAGAAACGGUCCAGACUCCUAAGGGAGGCAGCAGUAGGGAAUCUUCCGCAAUGGGCGAAAGCCUGACGGAGCAACGCCGCGUGAGUGAUGAAGGUCUUCGGAUCGUAAAACUCUGUUAUUAGGGAAGAACAAAUGUGUAAGUAACUAUGCACGUCUUGACGGUACCUAAUCAGAAAGCCACGGCUAACUACGUG